GUGCUAAAUUAGAAAUUACCUCCACACAGCGCUAACAGUGAAAACAAGGCAACAGUGUUUCCUUGGGGGGAACCGGAGAGUGGGCACUGACGCCAACGGUCGGGACAGCAGUAAAUAAAAACUGAGAGACACCAUGACCCAGAAGUAUCAACACAGCACCCACGAGCACCUCACGUGGACGAUGUGGACAAGCUGCAGCAGGAG